rnacentral:rRNA from 1 species
CAGUCGAGCGGUGACUGAUCCAGCUUGCUGGAUGCUGACGAGCGGCGGACGGGUGAGUAACGCAUAGGAAUUUACCCGGUAGUGGGGGAUAACCUGGGGAAACUCAGGCUAAUACCGCAUACGUCCUACGGGAGAAAGGGGGCUUUGGCUCCCGCUAUCGGAUGAGCCUAUGCCGGAUUAGCUGGUUGGUGAGGUAAUGGCUCACCAAGGCGACGAUCCGUAGCUGGUCUGAGAGGAUGAUCAGCCACAUCGGGACUGAGACACGGCCCGAACUCCUACGGGAGGCAGCAGUGGGGAAUAUUGGACAAUGGGGGCAACCCUGAUCCAGCCAUGCCGCGUGUGUGAAGAAGGCCCUCGGGUUGUAAAGCACUUUCAGCGAGGAAGAACGCCUGGUGGUUAAUACCCGCCAGGAAAGACAUCACUCGCAGAAGAAGCACCGGCUAACUCCGUGCCAGCAGCCGCGGUAAUACGGAGGGUGCAAGCGUUAAUCGGAAUUACUGGGCGUAAAGCGCGCGUAGGUGGCUUGAUAAGCCGGUUGUGAAAGCCCCGGGCUCAACCUGGGAACGGCAUCCGGAACUAUGAGGCUAGAGUGCAGGAGAGGAAGGUAGAAUUCCCGGUGUAGCGGUGAAAUGCGUAGAGAUCGGGAGGAAUACCAGUGGCGAAGGCGGCCUUCUGGACUGACACUGACACUGAGGUGCGAAAGCGUGGGUAGCAAACAGGAUUAGAUACCCUGGUAGUCCACGCCGUAAACGAUGUCGACCAGCCGUUGGGUGCCUAGCGCACUUUGUGGCGAAGUUAAC